rnacentral:rRNA from 1 species
AUGGCUUCCGGCGGCCAAACGAAGAUGGUUGCCGUUGGCAUGCUGCUGGUCAUCCUGUUCGCCGCGGUGGCUCACGCCGUCCUAGUGCCGCCAGUGCCGCCGCACCACCAAGCCUGCAUCCACACGACGGGCGAGGUUCCCGCCGCCAGUGACUGCAUCUGCUCCAAGAACUGCGCAUGCGCCGGAAAGUGCAUCUUAGCAGGCGGCACGGGCGACCAUGUCAAGGCCUGCUUCAUCGAUUGUGUGCUCAAGAACGACUGCAGGUGCAACGAUAACUGCUUCGCCCACCAGCCCCCGGUGCCCAUCAUCCUAGCAGAGCCCCAAAAGUGA